rnacentral:rRNA from 1 species
GCCAAUCGGGUCUUCGGAUUCGUUUAGUUGGUGACUCUGAAUAACUUUGCUGAUCGCACGGUCUUGCACCGGCGACGUAUCUUUCAAGUGUCUGCCUUAUCAACUGUCGAUGGUAGGUUAUGCGCCUACCAUGGUUGUAACGGGUAACGGGGAAUCAGGGUUCGAUUCCGGAGAGGGAGCCUGAGAAACGGCUACCACAUCCAAGGAAGGCAGCAGGCGCGCAAAUUACCCACUCCCGGCACGGGGAGGUAGUGACGAAAAAUAACGAUACGGAACUCAUACGAGGCUCCGUAAUCGGAAUGAGUACACUUUAAAUCCUUUAACGAGGAUCUAUUGGAGGGCAAGUCUGGUGCCAGCAGCCGCGUAAUUCCAGCUCCAAUAGCGUAUAUUAAAGUUGUUGUGGUUAAAAAGCUCGUAGUUGGAUCUCGGUUUCGGGUGAAUGGUGCACCUUGCGGUGUUUACUAUUUAUUCGGACGAUUUUGUUGGUUCGUUCCUGGUUCUCUUAAUCGAGUGCCUUGAGUGGCCAACACGUUUACUUUGAAAAAAUUGGAGUGCUCAAAGCAGGCGCUACAGCCUGAACAUUAGUGCAUGGAAUAAUGGAAUAGGACCUCGGUUCUAUUUCGUUGGCUUUCGGAGUCGAGGUAAUGAUUAAUAGGGACAGACGGGGGCAUUCGUACUGCGACGUUAGAGGUGAAAUUCUUGGAUCGUCGCAAGACGAACUACUGCGAAAGCAUUUGCCAAGAAUGUUCUCAUUAAUCAAGAACGAAAGUUAGAGGUUCGAAGGCGAUCAGAUACCGCCCUAGUUCUAACCAUAAACGAUGUCGACCGGCAAUCUGCUCUCGUUAAAUUAAUGACUGAGCAGGCGGCCUGCUGGAAACAAGAGUAUUUGGAUUCCAGGGGGAGUAUGGUUGCAAAGCUGAAACUUAAAAGAAUUGACGGAAGGGCACCACCAGGAGUGGAGCCUGCGGCUUAAUUUGACCCAACACGGGAAAUCUCACCAGGCCCGGACACCGGAAGGAUUGACAGAUUGAGAGCUCUUUCUUGAUUCGGUGGGUGGUGGUGCAUGGCCGUUCUUAGUUGGUGGAGCGAUUUGUCUGGUUAAUUCCGAUAACGAACGAGACUCUGGCCUACUAAAUAGACGUCAAAUCUUUUAUAGGUUUGUCGUAUGCUUCUUAGAGCGACAGGCGAGUCUAGUACGAGACCCCAACAUCUUCAUCUUUGCCCCCCUAGAUCGGAAGAGCACACGUCUGAACUCCAGUCACAUCUCGU